UACGGAGGGAGCUAGCGUUGUUCGGAUAUACUGGGCGUAAAGCGCACGUAGGCGGCGCCGUAAGUCAGGGGUGAAAUCCCGGAGCUCAACUCCAGAACUGCCUUUGAUACUGAAGAUCUUGAGUUCGGGAGAGGUGAGUGGAACUGCGAGUGUAGAGGUGAAAUUCGUAGAUAUUCGCAAGAACACCAGUGGCGAAGGCGGCUCACUGGCCCGAUACUGACGCUGAGGCACGAAAGCGUGGGGAGCAAACAGG
rnacentral:rRNA from 1 species